rnacentral:rRNA from 1 species
AUUGAACGCUGGCGGAAUGCUUUACACAUGCAAGUCGAACGGCCGCACGGACUUCGGUCUGGUGGCGAGUGGCGAACGGGUGAGUAAUGUAUCGGAACGUGCCCAGUCGGGGGGGAUAACGUAGUGAAAAUUACGCUAAUACCGCAUACGAUCUAUGGAUGAAAGCGGGGGAUCGCAAGACCUCGCGCGAUUGGAGCGGCCGAUAUCAGAUUAGGUAGUUGGUGGGGUAAAGGCCCACCAAGCCAACGAUCUGUAGCUGGUCUGAGAGGACGACCAGCCACACUGGAACUGAGACACGGUCCAGACUCCUACGGGAGGCAGCAGUGGGGAAUUUUGGACAAUGGGCGAAAGCCUGAUCCAGCCAUUCCGCGUGCAGGAUGAAGGCCCUCGGGUUGUAAACUGCUUUUGUACAGAACGAAAAGGUUUCUACUAAUACUAGGAGCUCAUGACGGUACUGUAAGAAUAAGCACCGGCUAACUACGUGCCAGCCGCCGCGGUAA